rnacentral:tRNA from 1 species
UAACAAAAAGCGAAGUUUUGCAAUUGGUUUCGACCCAUUUAUAUUGAAUUUAAUUUUCUUUG